rnacentral:tRNA from 1 species
CAGGGUGUGGGAAAGUCUGGCAAUCCGCGUGCCUCGGGCGCACGAGACCGCUGGUUCAAAUCCAGCCAUCCUGA